ACAAAUCAUUAAGCAAUUUAUAAUGAUGAAUAAUUAGAUGCUUUUUUCUUUUAAGUUGAUGAGAAAUGCAUUUAGUCUAAUGCAAAAGGAUCAAAUCAAAUAAUUCACAAGUAUUCACUCUUCAUAAAGAGACUAACUAUAAUCCAUUGACAGUGUAUCUCUUUUUUUAAGAGUAAAUACAUAAUUACCCUUGAUGUUGGCCGAAAUUUUCAAAAUGACACUUAAACUAUACUUUCGACUUAUUAACCAUUGUAAAUGUACUAUUUUGACCAAAAGUUUGACCCUGUGUGUCUACACGCACCUGAAGCGCGUGAAUGGAAAAAACAAAACUAAACUAGCGAAUUAAAAUGUGCCACAUGUAAUAAAAAGGACCCACUUUUUAAAUUUGUAUUUUAGAUUUCUUUUUUCUUCAUUUUUCAUCUUCUUCCUUCAUUUCAUCUUCUUCAUUUUCCAUCUUCUUCUUUCGUUUCUUCUUCUACUUCCUUCUUCUUCUUCUUCUUCUUCUUCUUCUUCUUCUUCUUCUUCUCCAUUAAUUGUGUCACUCGAUUUUCUCCAAAGUUAAAACUUUUAGUUUCCGUCAAAUAUGCAUAAAUCAUUAAUGAAUAUUGAUGGAGAAGAAGAAUGAAGAAAUUACUCCGUACUAAUGAGUAAUGAGAUUUCAAUACCAUUGUCUUCUUCAACUCCUCCAUUAAAGCUCCAUUAAUGGAGUUUUAUGAUUCAAGUAAAUGGUGUUGAAGACGGAAAAUAAAUUUAAUCACAAAAAGAAAACUUGAUUUCACAACUUUUAAACAAAUAAAGAAGAUAUUAAAGUCAAUACAUGAUUUUGUAUUCCACUAGUUCGAUUCAUUAAGGAGAAUUUUUUUUUCCUAAAAUUUUCUAGCUUCAAUGGAGAAUUGGGGAAAAAGAAGAGAAAAAAAGAGUAAUGGCUGUUAAUGGAGAAUUAGGGAAGAAACAAUGAAGAUUGAUUAAUGGAGAAUUGAGGAAGAAGAAAUGAAGUUGAUUAAUGGAGAAUUGAGGAAGAAGAUAUGGAGAUUGAUUAAUGGAGAAUUGGAGAAGAAGAAAUUAAAAUUGAUUAAUUGAUAAAUAAAAUUAAAAGGAAAAUUUUAUUUAAAAAAAGUUUUAAAAAUAAAAUUAAAUGUAUUUACACAUGGCAACACCUGAUUCGCGCG
rnacentral:lncRNA from 1 species